rnacentral:rRNA from 1 species
CCUACGGGCGGCAGCAGUGGGGAAUAUUGGACAAUGGGGGGAACCCUGAUCCAGCCAUGCCGCGUGUGUGAAGAAGGCCCUCGGGUUGUAAAGCACUUUCAGUGAGGAAGAACGCCUGGUGGUUAAUACCCAUCAGGAAAGACAUCACUCACAGAAGAAGCACCGGCUAACUCCGUGCCAGCAGCCGCGGGAAUACGGAGGGUGCGAGCGUUAAUCGGAAUUACUGGGCGUAAAGCGCGCGUAGGUGGCUUGAUAAGCCGGUUGUGAAAGCCCCGGGCUCAACCUGGGAACGGCAUCCGGAACUGUCAAGCUAGAGUGCAGGAGAGGAAGGUAGAAUUCCCGGUGUAGCGGUGAAAUGCGUAGAGAUCGGGAGGAAUACCAGUGGCGAAGGCGGCCUUCUGGACUGACACUGACACUGAGGUGCGAAAGCGUGGGUAGCAAACAGGAUUAGAUACCCCAGUAGUC